UACGCAGGUGGCAAGCGUUGUCCGGAAUUAUUGGGCGUAAAGCGCGCGCAGGCGGUCCCUUAAGUCUGAUGUGAAAGCCCACGGCUCAACCGUGGAGGGUCAUUGGAAACUGGGGGACUUGAGUGCAGAAGAGGAAAGUGGAAUUCCAUGUGUAGCGGUGAAAUGCGUAGAGAUGUGGAGGAACACCAGUGGCGAAGGCGACUUUCUGGUCUGUAACUGACGCUGAGGCGCGAGAGCGUGGGGAGCAAACAGG
rnacentral:rRNA from 1 species